rnacentral:rRNA from 1 species
GUAGGUGGCAAGCGUUGUCCGGAAUUAUUGGGCGUAAAGCGCGCGCAGGCGGUUCUUUAAGUCUGAUGUGAAAGCCCACGGCUCAACCGUGGAGGGUCAUUGGAAACUGGAGAACUUGAGUACAGAAGAGGAAAGCGGAAUUCCACGUGUAGCGGUGAAAUGCGUAGAGAUGUGGAGGAACACCAGUGGCGAAGGCGGCUUUCUGGUCUGUAACUGACGCUGAGGCGCGAAAGCGUGGGGGAGCAAACAGGGUUAGAUACCCUGGUAGUCCACGCCGUAAACGAUGAGUGCUAAGUGUUAGGGGGGUUUCCGCCCCCCUUAGUGCUGCAGCUAACGCAUUAAGCACUCCGCCUGGGAGUACGGCCGCAAGGCUG